rnacentral:rRNA from 1 species
CCCUUAGAUGUUCUGGGCCGCACGCGCGCUACACUGAUGCAUUCAACGAGCCUAUCCUUGACCGACAGGUCCGGGUAAUCUUUGAAUCUGCAUCGUGACGGGGAUAGAUUAUUGCAAUUAUUAAUCUUCAACGAGGAAUGCCUAGUAGGCGCAAGUCAUCAGCUUGCGUCGAUUACGUCCCUGCCCUUUGUACACACCGCCCGUCGCUCCUACCGAUUGGGUGUGCUGGUGAAUACUUCGGACUGCAACCGGUGCGGUUUCCGUACCCUUUGCAAAAAGUUGAAUAAACCUUAUCACUUAGAGGAAGGAGAAGUCGUAACA